UACAGAGGUCUCAAGCGUUGUUCGGAUUCAUUGGGCGUAAAGGGUGCGUAGGCGGCGCGGUAAGUCGGGUGUGAAAUCUCGGAGCUUAACUCCGAAACUGCAUUCGAUACUGCCGUGCUUGAGGACUGGAGAGGAGACUGGAAUUUACGGUGUAGCGGUGAAAUGCGUAGAUAUCGGGAGGAACACCUGAGGCGAAGGCGGGCUACUGGGCCGAUACUGACGCUGAUGCGCGAAAGCCAGGGGAGCAAACGGG
rnacentral:rRNA from 1 species